UAGAGCAACCCUUGGAGAUGCUCGGAGUCCGAGUUUCCUCUAAAUUUUCGUUCUCUCACAAGACCACAUUUCUACAGCACCGUGAGUAAACACUUUCGCACCGCCACCGGCUUCUCACCCACCGUCGCACCGCCAUCGAAGUCUCACUCACCGUUGCACCACCUGCCGUUCCACCUCCUCGUCGCACCACCUGACGCCUCCGCCACCAAGCCCUCCGUCGUGCCGUCAUCUGAAGCCCUCUGCUGUCGCCGGCGAUGAGAGCUUAAUCGCCCUAGAGAGAGAAGGGCUUCAAAAGAGGAAGUAACUGUAUCAGCCACCACGAACAGAGUUGGGCGGAGAAAUAACAGUGGUCGUCUGAAAAAGAAAAAACAGGUGGCUUGGAAAAAUUACAUUGGAAACUUACAUCUCCUAGUUUCAUAUAUGGCUGAGGUCCGUGGUCUAACUUUUUAUGCACAUGUUCCUUAUGUUUAUAUAUUUGGAUUGCUGCCUUACAACAUCUAGCAUUUGUAUAAUGUCAAUCACUUUUGAUUGUUAAGUUUAUGGUGUCCGGCUUUUUAGUUGGCUAUUACUAUAAUUUAUUGUCAACUUUUCCUUAUAUAAACUGAUGUUAUUCAGGAGAGUUUCUCAGACAUUAUUAAGAGCAUCAGUAACGCACCUACUCGAGUGCCUACUCGAGUAGAGCGUUGCACUCGAGUAGGGCGUUGCAGGGGUGGGUUACUCGAGUGCUACUCGAGUCUUCGAGUAUGCACGAGUAAUUUUCCUUUUUUUUUUUUUAAUUCUCUUCUCCUCUUUAAAAAUCUCUCUCUCUUUAAAAACUAAAAAAAUCAAGUAGGCUAUCAAGUAACCCCAAUGCAGCACUACUUAAUCAAUAACACAACCCACUAUCAAGUAGGCUAUCAAGUAAGUCCAUUGUGGAUGCUCUAAGUUUAGUUCUAUGACAUUUGUUAGUUGAGUUUGUAAGAUUGCUUCUAGACUAAAUCCCAUAAAUAUUAUGGGAAUCCACAAAAUUCAACUUUCUGGAACAUUAGGAUCCUUUGCUCAACUUCAUGCUGACAACCGCUAUUUAUAUCUCGAUAUCCUAUCGACUUUUUGAGUUGACAAUACGCUCAAGGUUGCUUUUAUUCCAACAAAAGACAACCAUAAGCUAUUCCAAAAUUUUAUUGCUGGAACUGCCAUUGUUGUGUGUUUGUAUAGCAUUUCAUUUAUUCUUCUUCAGAUCCCUGUUUAGUAAAGUUUUAUCCGUCCACCGAAUAGUUAUAUAUGCUCGCUGGAAUCAUGUUGAACCUAGCCUCAACCAUGUUUAGUCCAUUGAUUUAAUCACACUUUAAGA